ensembl:lincRNA
GCUCGGUUUCCAGGCAGCGGAUGAGGUGAAUAUGUCCCUGCAAAAAGGCAACCUCUCAGCGCUCUUCACCCUAGCAGCAGGGAGCAGUAGUCUAUAAGCCCGUUUCUCAGCAAGAACCUGUUGGUCCUGCAACAUGCACUUCAGAUGGGAUCUAACUCCUGGCCCCGCUCGCAUUGGGGAAAGCGGCUUCCACUCACGUCAUCGCGUUUCUGCGGUGCGACGCGUUUUGUCCAUUUUGGGCUUCCAUAGCUGUUUCUCCCACUGGACGCCUUGGGGCCAGCCAUGAUGCGGGACUGCUCUGGCCUUCUCUGUGCUCCUGACCUUGACUCUGGGAACUGGCUUCGUGCGAAAUGGGCGUGGCCUCGCAUUCACAGCCCGGAAGUGAGAAGCAGGUGACUCCAACCCACGAAAGCCUUCUCGUCUCAAGGUCUCAACAGUUACCAGCGAAACUGCACUGGACAGCAGCCUUCCUAAAGGAAACUUUCCCACCUCUAUAAUGAAGAAAAGCAGGAGUGUGAUGGCCGUGACUGCAGAUGAUAAUGUUAAAGAUUAUUUUGAAUGUAGCCUGAGUAAAUCCUACAGUUCUUCCAGUAACACACUUGGGAUCGACCUGUGGCGAGGGAGGAGGUGUUGCUCGGGGAACUUGCAGCUACCACCGCUGUCUCAGCGACAGAGUGACAGGGCGCGGACCCCCGAGGGAGACGGCCUCCCCAGGCCCACCACGCUGCCUCUGAACACACUUCCCAGCAUCGCCAUCACCACUGCGAGCCAGGAAGGUGCUGGAAGAAGGAAGCUGGAGAUACCAGUGUUCGUCACUUCCCACUCCCACAAGGAAGGCUACAGAGAGAGAGUGGGCUGGAUGUUACAGUUCUUUGCUGCAUUAAGAAAUUAA